UAGUCACCAGUGAGCGACGCCUUCUCUCCGCUCUUUCACCAUCGUUAACUACCACCACGUUGCUUUGUUCUCUUUGAAUCCAGUAUAAAAUCCAUUGAACUUGGACUCAACAUCUCUUUCUCCUUGACUUCUCCUCACAAUCUCACUAAACCAACGCUAUUUCUUCCUUUUUUAUUCCCAAAUGUAAUUUGCUUUUUUCCAUGAUUGUAAUUAACUAGGUUAGAUUAUGAUAUGUUAACCUAUAUCUUUUCCUCGAUUUAAAAUUUUCACCAGGUUGAAUCUAUCUGAUAUAUUCUCUUCGGUUAAAUCAAAAUUGAGAUCCCACUAACCCUCGGCUCGUGACUCGCACUUGGAAUUUCAGAUCCAGGUAAUUGUAGUUUCGUUCUUUGUCAAUUUUAGGAUUUUUAAUUAGUGGAAUUGGGUAAACUUUUAUUUAGCUUUGUCUGUUUGUUGCGAUUGGGAAAUUUUAUAAUUUAUAGUUUUUAUUAGAACUUCUAAUGUAUCCCUGUUUCAUCGCUUUUUAGUACAAAAGACUCCAUUCCAUUUUCCUGCAUUCUCUUGGUGUUUAUUUGUGUUUUUUCAUUUACUAUCAUGAUUAAAAUAUUCCAUAGUUUGAUUUCGGUAAUAUUUCAUUUAAGUUGAUUAGGUUGAUAGAAUUUGGAGAUAUGCCAAUUUAUUUUACUUAUAAAUGAAUCUGGUUCUUGUUAAUAUGACUUUCUUUUCUGUAUAAAUUUAAUACAAAAUAGAAGUGUGUUUUGGGAAAUGAACUUAAGUCCUCUAAUCUGACUAUGAAGAAACUAACACCUGUAUAUGCCCCCUUCACAAUUGCUUUUGUACAUGGCUCACUCAUCACAGGAAAUAUUUCAGAAACUAUCUGUGCAAUCUUUCUCUUUUUAAUUCAUUGAAUUUGUCGUGAGUGUUCAAUUAAACUUGGUNNNNN
rnacentral:lncRNA from 1 species